GGGGCAGCAAGUGUUUUUCACCGCUGAGCCGUUUCUUUAGUCCAUCCACUUUAUUUUUGAGCAGGGUUCCUCACUGAACCUGGAGCUCCUUGGCUGCCUAGACUGGUGUUCAGCAAGAACUGUCUCCCUGUCUUGGCCUCCCUGGCGCUGGGAUCCAGGCUCAGGUCUAACGCUAUGCUUUCCUCUGGCGCUGGGGUCCAGGCUCAGGUCUAACGCUAUGCUUUCCUCUGGUGCUGGGGUCCAGGCUCAGGCCUAACGCUAUGCUUUCCUCUGGCGCUGGGGUCCAGGCUCAGGCCUAACGCUAUGCUUCCCUGCCAGCUCUUUACUGACUGAGCCAUCUCCCUGGCCCCUCCUGUGACUCCUGAACUAAGACAUGGCUGUGUUUCCUCAGCUACAGGAGCUGUGCCUUCCUCAGUUACGCAGUGUGAGUCUGGUCGUCACUGUCCACAGUAGCGCGUCCUCCUGUCUGUCAAGGGGCUGGGGUGGGACUGACUGAAUGGUUCCAGUCAGGUCAGGGCGCUCCCUUCAUCAAUGCUGCCUUUGCUUCUCCUCUCACAGACACCUGGCAUUAGGAGGUCGUCGGGGUCAUGUGGCUGCCCUCGAUUGGGUGACAAAGAAGCUCAUGUGUGAGAUCAACGUCAUGGAAGCCGUGCAGGACAUCCAGUCAGUGUUUCCUUGCUGGCAGUCGGUGGGA
rnacentral:lncRNA from 1 species